UCGUGACUCCGGUCAGCCUUUUCUCC
rnacentral:piRNA from 1 species